rnacentral:rRNA from 1 species
AGUGGAGCCUGCGGCUUAAUUUGACUCAACACGGGGAAACUCACCAGGUCCAGACACAAUAAGGAUUGACAGAUUGAUAGCUCUUUCUUGAUUUUGUGGGUGGUGGUGCAUGGCCGUUCUUAGUUGGUGGAGUGAUUUGUCUGCUUAAUUGCGAUAACGAACGAGACCUUGACCUACUAAAUAGCUCUACUUGCGAUUGCAGGUAGCUAGCUUCUUAGAGGGACUAUCUAUUACAAGUAGAUGGAAGUUCGAGGCAAUAACAGGUCUGUGAUGCCCUUAGACGUUCUGGGCCGCACGCGCGCUACACUGACGGAGCCAGCGAGUCGACCAAGCCCGAGAGGGCUAGGUAAUCUUGUGAAACUCCGUCGUGCUGGGGAUAGAGCAUUGCAAUUAUUGCUCUUCAACGAGGAAUUCCUAGUAAGCGCAAGUCAUCAGCUUGCGUUGAUUACGUCCCUGCCCUUUGUACACACCGCCCGUCGCUACUACCGAUUGAAUGGCUA